rnacentral:rRNA from 1 species
GAUCAUGGCUCAGAUUGAACGCUGCGGGCAUGCCUUACACAUGCAAGUCGAACGGCAGCACGGGAGCUUGCUCCUGGUGGCGAGUGGCGAACGGGUGAGUAAUACAUCGGAACGUACCCUGAAGUGGGGGAUAACGUAGCGAAAGUUACGCUAAUACCGCAUAUUCUGUGAGCAGGAAAGAGGGGGAUCGCAAGACCUCUUGCUUUAGGAGCGGCCGAUGUCGGAUUAGCUAGUUGGUGAGGUAAAGGCUCACCAAGGCGACGAUCCGUAGCGGGUCUGAGAGGAUGAUCCGCCACACUGGGACUGAGACACGGCCCAGACUCCUACGGGAGGCAGCAGUGGGGAAUUUUGGACAAUGGGCGCAAGCCUGAUCCAGCCAUGCCGCGUGAGUGAAGAAGGCCUUCGGGUUGUAAAGCUCUUUCGGUGGGGAAGAAAUUGCUUCGGUUAAUACCUGGAGUAGAUGACGGUACCCGCAUAAGAAGCACCGGCUAACUACGUG